rnacentral:rRNA from 1 species
ACACCGGCAGCUCUAGUGGUAGCUGUUUUUAUUGGGCCUAAAGCGUUCGUAGCCGGUUUGAUAAGUCUCUGGUGAAAUCCUGUAGCUUAACUGUGGGAAUUGCUGGUGAUACUGUUGAACUUGAGGUCGGGAGAGGUUAGCGGUACUCCCAGGGUAGAGGUGAAAUUCUGUAAUCCUGGGAGGACCACCUGUGGCGAAGGCGGCUAACUGGAACGAACCUGACGGUGAGGGACGAAAGCUAGGGGCGCGAACCGGAUUAGAUACCCGGGUAGUCCUAGCCGUAAACGAUGCGGACUUGGUGUUGGGGUGGCUUUGAGCUGUUUCGGUGCCGUAGGGAAGCUGUUAAGUUCGCCGCCUGGGAAGUACGGUCGCAAGACUGAAACUUAAAGGAAUUGACGGGG